rnacentral:rRNA from 1 species
UACGUAGGGUGCAAGCGUUAAUCGGAAUUACUGGGCGUAAAGCGUGCGCAGGCGGCUAUGCAAGACAGAUGUGAAAUCCCCGGGCUCAACCUGGGAACUGCAUUUGUGACUGCAUGGCUAGAGUACGGCAGAGGGGGAUGGAAUUCCGCGUGUAGCAGUGAAAUGCGUAGAUAUGCGGAGGAACGCCGAUGGCGAAGGCAAUCCCCUGGGCCUGUACUGACGCUCAUGCACGAAAGCGUGGGGAGCAAACAGG